rnacentral:misc_RNA from 1 species
CGUCGCGGCAAAAGUAUCACCCCCAACUUAUUGGAGGAGAAGCACGUCGCUGUCGUGGUGACACAGAGUUGCAGGUGGAGUACACGAAGGAUAGCGUAGUUGUGGCCCUUCCUUGCCAACCACAGCCCCCACCCUCCAUCUCCCAUUUGUUUGCGUAAGGUAGCACACAGGAGGGCAUGAGCAACUGCGGAUGCAGUGUCACAUGCACGAACUCGCGGCUACCUCUCUCCAUUUCCCUCUGAGUGUGUUUCUCAUUCUGGGUGGACAGCCUCGCGGCACCUUCUGGCAAGCCUGCAUACGAACACAGCGCCCGCAGCCCGACAGCAGCGAUGCUCGAUCCAAAGAAAAUAUCUGCCGCUGUGCUGGGCUACGCGCCCCAGUUCGUGCUGACACGCUUCUCGUCAGUAAUCAUGGGCAUCAUUAUCGCAUACGGAGUGCUGCUCUUCUUCCUCGGGCAUCCGCCUUUCUUCCAACGUGUAGGAGAGCUGUCUCUCACGACGACGCUGGGCUACUGGGGUGCGCGUGCUACGCGGUACGGGAUUGUGCGAAUUGUGCACCUGAUUGAAGGCACGACCCCGGAGAGCGCGGCAGCGGCGGCGGCGGCGCCGGAGGGUGCGUCCAGCCCAGGCAGCUCCCGAGGUGCGACGUCAUCGCCUAGGUCGCAGUCGGGGGCAGGAAGGUGUAAAUCGAAGGGCCUGGACUGAGAAACCUCCUUUCUCUCUUGGCUGCAGUGCUUAUUCCCUUCGAGCAGGAUGCAUCCCGCCAGUAUCGGCGGGCCCUCUAAGCCGGUGCCGCCUUUCCACCGGUGCUCUGAGAGUGCGAUCAGAGCGCAUCCCUCACGCCAAUGCGAGAGGGGAGAGAAGCGAGACGUGUGCGCUGUGGCGGUGCCGUCGGCGUGGCCCGGCGUAGUGCGAUGGAGACGAUUGCCACCCUUGUGCGUUCGUCCGUUCGAGCGCAGCGGAUGUGCGUGUUGUCGUUGUUGCUGGUUCGAUUGCCCACUUCGAUAAUUUUUUUCGCCACCCACGCAUCGUCCUCGUCUUAAGUGCGCAAUCGACACCCCCACCUCCCCAACAAAAAAGAGCAUGAGCUCUACCCCUCCGAUCAGCCUUCCCCCCCCCCCUGGAGUGCACGCACAUGCUUGUGCUGUCAGUGCGAAGGUGCAGCGACAACUUUCACAGCCACACCAGCUCUAUAGGCCUCGUGCUCCGUUACAAUCUGAUUGAUACAAGAUGCCGCAAAGUACUUGCUCGAUGUGCACACACGAGGACGCGGGCACGAGUGGUUUCUAGUACUGCAUCGCGACGCUCUUACGGGUAGUAGCUUGCGGUGCCGCUUUCUUCAGAGG